UUCCCCCUGCCGUGUUCGUGAUUGAAUGAUGUCCUUUGACCCAUUUUACAAAACAAGGGGACUUCCACUGAUGUCGGUGUGCAGGUUCUGAAAAUAUACAGAAAAGCCUAAAGAGAUUACGAGGUCACCCACCUAUCAUAAAUAGGUCUAAGGCCUAUUAACACGGCACAAUGGUGGGGGGAAU
rnacentral:other from 1 species